ACUAAUCCUGCUGUAUACGCCGCUGCUUGUCCGUCUGGAUCGGGUCUUGUAUAAUGACGUGCUGUCUGCUCAACCUCAAAUUCGUCCGGGACUUGCUCUUUCCAAACAUCCGAGUCGAGCAGAAUAAGAACAACAAUGUUCUUUUUGAACGUGCUGAGUAGCUGGAUGCAGUCUGUGCCUCGUGAUGACUCCUGCCCCUCCCCGGACUCUCUCCCUUAGGACCAGGUCUGGCCCGCACUGGCUGUGGAGCUAGCCCAUGUGCUGCAGGUCAGUGCUGAUGUGCUGAGGUGCCACCUAGUGUGUGAGCUGUACAACUACGGCCUGGGCCUGCUUGCUGAGGAGCUGUCCCUGCUCUCUCUUCUCUCAGGAGAUGCUGCAGGUGAAGGAUCAGGAGGUCCUGGCCUCUCAGCUCCUCAUCCUGACGGGUCAGAGACUGACCUUCGCCCUUCUGCACAUCCAGACCAAGUAGGGCAUGGAGUUGCUGGCCAGGCUGCCCCCCGCAAUCUGCCUCUGGCUCAAAGCAAUGGACCUGCAGGACCUGAAGAACACAGCAGUGCCUCUCUCCCGCACAGGGAGGCUGGUGAGCCGGGUCAUUGACGGGUUGCCUGAGAAUCAUGGCCAGUACGGGCUGGCACUGCAUCUCCUGGAGGCUGUGGAUGCCAUGGGAGCACCACAGUGAGGGAGGGGACUGAAGGGGAGGCAUUACUGAGAGAGAGAGAGAGAGAGAGAGAGAGACAGAGAGACAGAGAGAGAGAGACCACUGAGUGAGAACAAGGGUGUGGAGGUACACAGCAGAAAGAGGGAGGCAUUGGGGAGAAUCAUAAGGCAAGAGUUCUGUUUUGAGUUGGUAAUUUGUGUUUUUCUUGGCAAUGUAACUAGGGUAUGACAUACUCGACAAGGAACAUAUUGUAAAAAAUAAAUACAUAAUUUCUGUAAGUCUGGUUGCCCCUGGUGAAGUACAUAUCUAAUUUAAUGUACUGCCCAUUUAUUCAUCCUGUGUGGCAAGACAGCUCUAGCUAGGUAACUGUCAGUGCAGAAGACUUACUUUUAAAAUGCCUGUGAACUGCUCUCCCUGUGUCUGUCUUUCACCUCUGGGCUCUCCUGAGAGAAAAGGAAAACAAAAACUACACACAGUAAGAGACAGACAGAGGGAUCACAGGGCAUCUCUUUUCAGUGGGAUUCCGCUGGGGAAGGAGAGAGGCUCAGAAACUGUCAUUUUAUUUAUUAUUGUUAUUACAGUAAAACCCUGAUUAUUAUCCAAACACCUCUAUUAUCCCAACAACCCUUUGAAUCCUUGAAUCCUUUGAAACCUUUAAAUAUCUUAUAUUUACAGGUUAUGAGUACCAUUUAAACAAUUUCACAAUUGUAAUUUGAUUAUCUGAACACCCCCUGAUCUCUGUUAGUUCCAACAAUAGUGGUAUUAUUAUUAUUAUUAUUAUUAUUAUUAUUAUUAUUAUUAUUAUUAUUAUUAUUAUUAUUAUUAUUAUUAUUAUAAUAUUUACUGGUUUGCUAUUCUUUUUAGAGAAUAAAACGUGGCAAGCUCUCGUCACCCUGCUGCCCUGAAAGGCAGUACUAGCUGUGUGGGAGCCUGCAGCUCCACCUCCCCAGCAGAGGGUGCUGUGAGCGGGUUUCAGUAAUCCUUAAGAGUGAGGGAGGAAAAAAAGUUCAAAACAUAAAAAAAAUGUAGUUUGAUUAGUUCCUGCCUAUUUGUCUAACUGAAUGUUUAUAUAUUUGUAAUUGUUAUUAAAGCUAAGGCCCUCAGCCCCUGUAAUACACUGUUUCAAUACAGGAUUUGGGGGAUUAUUCAGACACAUCUCUGAAUAACCCUUAAUUGUUUAUAGUGGUAAAUUUGUGUAUCUGUGCUAAAGUCACAUCCCGACUGAAAUGCCGUAUCAGGUAGAUUGAUUUAGAAACAACUGUCUCUUUCUCAGCCUGCGCUUUUGUUGCCCCCUCUUUGUAUUAGUAUGUAUGAAAACACAAAACGCUCUGAAAUUAAAUGUGUUUCUGUGGUGCUAUUGUUGAAUAUUUAUACACGGCUCUCCAGUCUCAUAGGACACAGUGCCACCUGGGGUCCAUGAAGUGUAACUGCAGUUCAUUAUCAAAGGAUAAAGAGAGUUUUUUGGACACAUCUUAUUGGACACACUUACUGAGAUCACAGGGGCACAGUGAGGGACAGAGAGACCAAGACACACAAGAUAACCACAAAGAUUGGACUCACUCACAAGCACCAGAACCACUGACAAACACACUGCUUUGAUUUGUACUCUGUCACUCACUCAACAAUACAGGUCUCAAGCACCACUACAUUGAAAAAUAGCAGCUGACUUGAAUGGGGUAAUAGCUUAUUUUUCCUUUUUUUUUUCAACCCUGUAAUCACACACAGUAGCAUUCUUACCCCUACUGGUUAGAUCAAAUAAUGAAUAAAAACAGUAUAGAAGCUGCAAUUGUCACUCCAUCAUCAAUACAUUCUCAACCACCACGACAUUACAAAAAAGCAGCUGACUUGGAGUUAAUAUCUGAGAAUACUACUUAAUAGCACAUACACUCGUACUGUAAAUCACACACAUGUGCUUUUCUCUCCUGGUUAGAGACUAUUUUAGCAAUGGCUUGUACCUGCAAAAAUACUGAUUCUACACCAAUAUUGCUGUGGACAAAUACUAAAGAUAAAUCUUCAUACAUUGUAUAAGAAGUUAGCAUGCUAUUUUAACCAUGUGUUUUUGUUUUACCAGUCACGCUCAUACUGUAAUCACACACUACCUUCCACUUGCACUGCACAAACUAUUUGGAUUCAGCGCUCCACAGAAUUCAGAUGCUGACAAUUAGGUGAUGGUCACUGGUAUUGAUUGGACUGAUUUAAAAUUACAAGUGAAGAAACCGCUGGUUGGAUUUUUGAUUGUUGCUUUUCCAGACAGCUCUUUUUUCACUUGAAAUGGUAAACCACCAACCACCCUCAUCUGAUUGUUCGGAUCAAGCUCUCCACAAUUGAAUAAUCGCUUUCUGCUGCCACUCUGAGUGAUUGUGAUCGUGCCACAGACCCCCAUCGGGGCCGGUACAGGGAGUGUGACUGUGCUCACCCUCCAAGUUGAUAAGGAAGCUGCCCCUGACAGUGAGUGCGUCCGCUGACAGGUCCCGGGGCAGGCUGGUCUGAGGCGUCAUCAUCAGCUCACACAGCUGGGAGAUGCUGGAAAAGGGCGUCUCCUGCAGGAACUGCAAGCACAGGCAGGGGGCACCACUUGUACAUAACUUAUUAUAAAUCAGGUUUUAAUUAAAAGAAAAGCACACAGUACACAGUUAAUGCCGUUACCCAUGUGUUUAGAAUUGUCAGCUGGAGGUCGGCCAUCCAUGAGACAAUUCUUUUGACAAAAUAAGCUGCCCUGAAAUGUUUUUAAAUCUGGCAUUUUGAUUGUCAGAGUGGCUUCAUGAUUUAUAAUUAAUACAAUAAUCUUUCACUGUCUAAUGACGGAGUGUACAUGUUUGAGUGCCUGUAGAGAGAGUGGGCUCUUCUGGUAUAUUGUCCCCAGGCAGCACCCAGCUCUCUCCUGUACACUGUGGCACCCCCGUUGUCAUCAUGUGUACAGCGGUGUUACUGACCUCCAGUAGGCCCGGCUUGAUGGCAAUGGUCAGGUCGAACUCUGUAGCAUUGGGCCCGGGGGAUGGAGCUCAGGAAGGAGUCCCUGAUGGCACACGACCCCUCAACCACCUCCACCAGACCUGGCUUCUUCCACAGACAGCUGGCCUUGAUCCACCCGCUCCGGAACAGGGUCUCUGACUCUGAAACAACACGAGCAAGAACAUCAGUCAAUACACUGACCAGACACUACACGCUAGGGCAGCCUCCACCCGUUCCCAGUAUGGGUACAAGUGCGUUUUGUUCAAGGGGUGGUGCUUGUCGCGUGGUUUUGAACCCAUGACAUGCCCUAUGGCAGUUGUACUGCAAUUUUUACAGGACCUUUUUGAAGAGGGGAAAUCUCCCUCUACUCUAAAGGUCUAUUUGGCAGCCAUUUCGGUGUGCCAUGCAUUCAGUUGAGCUCACAUUUGUCUUUCAAGGCAGCUUUCUUGCUUGCUAUCACCUCUGCUAAGCGGGUGAGUGAAAUGCAGGCACUCUCAAUUUCAAAAGCUUGUCUAAUUUUUUCAGAGGCCUGAACGAGAGUCACCCUUCGUACUGACCCUGCUUUUUUGCCGAAGAUCAUCUCAACUUUCCACGUUAACCACACAGUGGAAUUGGAAGCUUUCCAUCCCCAUCCUUUCCAAUCCGACAGGGAGCACCAGCUCCAUACGCUUUGCCCAGUGCGGGCAUUAGCGUAUUAAAAGCUGGAGGUAGUCAGAACAAUUUUUUGUUUGUUAUAGAGCUAAGUCCCAGGGACAGGCUCUGUCUAAACAGCAUCUGUCUAAAUGGCUGACAGGAACAGUCCAGCGUCUGAGAAGCUCACCGGCCAUUCCACCAGGGGUCUGGCAACUUCAUGGGCUUUGUUCCAAGGUGUAUCUAUCCAGGACAUAUGCAGUGCAGCAGUUUGGGCUUCCUCCCAUACGUUUGCCAGGUUCUAUUGGCUGAAUGUCAUGGACCUGCAGAAUCCUGGAUCUGGCACUAGUGUACUGAGGGCGGCUUCCCAGUCCACCCUCACGUCAGAACAUUAGAGGAGAGUUCAUCUUAAAUUAUUUAAUUUUUUUCCAGACUGCUUGAAUACUGUUCAUAUACUGCGACAAUGGUAAUGGUAAUGGUUAACAUUCCAUACUUGAAUUUCGCUGAAAUAGGAAUAUUAACCAUUAACUUCGGGGUCGCAGCAUUUAUGGUCCCAGUUCUCAUAGCAAAAUGAUGAUGUUAUCAGGGCGCGUAGCUGGUUUAUUGCUGCGUCACCGUGCUCUGAUGAGAGUCUUUAGUAUAAAUGUUUUCAGGUUUGGAUGUCUUAAAGGGGAAAGACCCAUUUGUAAUGGUUAAUAUUCCUAUUUCAGGGUACCAGGGUUAUGAUAAUAACCCAAUGUUUUCCCGUUCUGGAAAAGCAUUACACCUCGAUUUCCAUCUCUGUCAGUAGUUGCCCUGCGAUGCUUAGCAGUACCAGUCAACAGUGUCAAUGCAGAGCGAUCCUACUCAUCUUUUAAUAACGUGCUGCUCGGGGUGACAGACGUUGCAUCAGAAGUGACAAUCUCUCAAUGUAGAACUUGUUGUACCAAAAAUCGCAAAACAGUGUGUAAAGGAAUUUACCAAAAAGAAUCACCAAGUUAAACACUUAUCCAUUAUGGUUGUUUGAAAAAGUAUUGUACAAAAAUAAACAAAUAAUUCCAAAACAGUUUACUUUUGCAAGCAAAAGAAAUAUUCCCAUGUUAUAAUAUAUUGUGUUAAAUAAAUGCAUAUUUACGUUCACAUUCAAAAUUCUUGGUUGCCAUGACCAGUCACAUUUUCUACUUUUUACCAUGACUGUGCCGUGAAUUAUGCAUAAUUUUACUGCGACAAAAUCGUAUCCAAAGUUAUAAUUAAAGAGCAUUAAUUAGUUAUUAAUUGUUCUUUUUUUUCUGGGGAAGAGCUGCCUAUUGAUGCCUGAUGCCCAUAUUCCAGGGAUGGAAAUAAGACUCCUAUUUCAUAGCAGUUUCACCUAGUCCAGGUUUUACUACAGGUCUGAUUAGCCACAGUGUAUAGGUAACAAGCUCAGGUGUCUUAC